rnacentral:rRNA from 1 species
UCUCCUGGAAAAAAGGGUGGUAAUGCCGGAUGCUCCAGUUGAUCGCAUGGUCUUCUGGGAAAGCUUUCGCGGUAUGGGAUGGGGUCGCGUCCUAUCAGCUUGACGGCGGGGUAACGGCCCACCGUGGCUUCGACGGGUAGCCGGCCUGAGAGGGCGACCGGCCACAUUGGGACUGAGAUACGGCCCAGACUCCUACGGGAGGCAGCAGUGGGGAAUAUUGCACAAUGGGCGCAAGCCUGAUGCAGCGACGCCGCGUGAGGGAUGGAGGCCUUCGGGUUGUAAACCUCUUUUAUCGGGGAGCAAGCGAGAGUGAGUUUACCCGUUGAAUAAGCACCGGCUAACUACGUGCCAGCAGCCGCGGUAAUACGUAGGGUGCAAGCGUUAUCCGGAAUUAUUGGGCGUAAAGGGCUCGUAGGCGGUUCGUCGCGUCCGGUGUGAAAGUCCAUCGCUUAACGGUGGAUCCGCGCCGGGUACGGGCGGGCUUGAGUGCGGUAGGGGAGACUGGAAUUCCCGGUGUAACGGUGGAAUGUGUAGAUAUCG